UACGCAGGGGGCUAGCGUUGCUCGGAAUUACUGGGCGUAAAGCGCACGUAGGCGGCUUCUUAAGUCGGUGGUGAAAUCCUGGAGCUCAACUCCAGAACUGCCUUCGAUACUGGGAAGCUCGAGUCCGGGAGAGGUGAGUGGAACUGCGAGUGUAGAGGUGAAAUUCGUAGAUAUUCGCAAGAACACCAGUGGCGAAGGCGGCUCACUGGCCCGGUACUGACGCUGAGGUGCGAAAGCGUGGGGAGCAAACAGG
rnacentral:rRNA from 1 species